CAGGUGGUGCAUGGUUGUCGUCAGCUCGUGUCGUGAGAUGUUGGGUUAAGUCCCGCAACGAGCGCAACCCUUGUCUUUAGUUGCCAGCAUUAAGUUGGGCACUCUAGAGAGACUGCCAGGGAUAACCGGGAGGAAGGUGGGGAUGACGUCAAAUCAUCAUGCCCCUUAUGCUUAGGGCUACACACGUGCUACAAUGGGUAGUACAGAGGGUUGC
rnacentral:rRNA from 1 species